GAUGAAGAACGCAGCGAAAUGCGAUAAGUAGUGUGAAUUGCAGAAUUCAGUGAAUCAUCGAAUCUUUGAACGCACAUUGCGCCCCUUGGUAUUCCAUGGGGCAUGCCUGUUCGAGCGUCAUUUGUACCUUCAAGCUUUGCUUGGUGUUGGGCCCCGCCGCCCCGGCGGGCCCUAAAGUCAGUGGCGGUGCCGUCCGGCUCCGAGCGUAGUAAUUCUUCUCGCUCUGGAGGUCCGGUCGUGUGCUCGCCAGCAACCCCCAAUUUUUUUCAGGUUGACCUCGGAUCAGGUAGGGAUACCCGCUGAACUUAAGCAUAUCAAUAAGCGGAGGA
rnacentral:misc_RNA from 1 species